AGAGUUUGAUCCUGGCUCAGAGCGAACGCUGGCGGCGUGCUUAACACAUGCAAGUCGAACGAGUGUAGCAAUACAUUCGUGGCGAACGGGUGCGUAACACGUGGAUAACCUUCCUUCAGGUGGGGAAUAACCCAGUGAAAAUUGGGAUAAUACCGCAUAACAAGACGAGGGCACAUGCUCAUGUCUUCAAAGGCGCAAGUCGCCAGAAGAGGGAUCCGCGGCCGAUUAGCUUGUUGGCGGGGUAACGGCCCACCAAGGCAUUGAUCGGUAGCCGGACUGAGAGGUUGGCCGGCCACACUGGAACUGAGACACGGUCCAGACUCCUACGGGAGGCAGCAGUGGGGAAUCUUGCACAAUGGACGAAAGUCUGAUGCAGCAACGCCGCGUGGGGGAUGAAGCUUCUCGGAGUGUAAACCCCUUUCGACCCGGAAGAAAGCCCGCAAGGGUUUGACGGUACGGGUAUAAGAAGCCCCGGCUAACUACGUGCCAGCAGCCGCGGUAAAACGUAGGGGGCCAGCGUUGCUCGGAAUUACUGGGCGUAAAGGGUCCGUAGGCGGUGUGGCAAGUCGGAAGUGAAAUCUCUGGGCUUAACCCAGAGGCUGCUUCCGAAACUGCCGUGCUAGAGGGUGAGAGAGGCAAGUGGAAUUGCGGGUGUAGCGGUGAAAUGCGUAGAUAUCCGCAGGAACGUCCGAGGCGAAAGCGGCUUGCUGGAUCACUUCUGACGCUGAGGGACGAAAGCUAGGGGAGCAAACAGGAUUAGAUACCCUAGUAGUCC
rnacentral:rRNA from 1 species